rnacentral:rRNA from 1 species
AACGUAGGAGGCAAGCGUUAUCCGGAUUCACUGGGCGUAAAGCGCGUGCAGGCGGUUCGGUAAGUUGGGCGUGAAAUCUCCUGGCUCAACUGGGAGAGGUCGUCCAAUACUACCGGGCUAGAGAGCAGUAGAGGAAGAUGGAAUUCCCGGUGUAGUGGUGAAAUGCGUAGAUAUCGGGAGGAACACCAGUGGCGAAGGCGGUCUUCUGGACUGUUUCUGACGCUCAGACGCGAAAGCUAGGGGAGCAAACAGG